rnacentral:lncRNA from 1 species
UGGCAAUGCUCAGAGAGGAACCGAAACCCAAACUGUCAGUAAGCACAGAGUUACCACAACGCUUCAUCCUUCUCUGAGAUCGAGGUAAUGCUUCUGUCUAAAAGCCACGUAGCUUUUUUCAGUAUUUCUACUCAAAAAGGUCCUGCGACACAUCCAUGAUUCGGCGGUGAGAAAGCUAUCUUUCGGCCAUACUCACAUGAGACGGAAAAAAUCGGAACCAAGGUCAUGAAAAAU